UGGAACGUCCAAAGCCUAUUUCUUUAUUAGUAUCUCCCAAAGCAAAGAGGGCGAGAAAACCCUAGAAAUCGAGCGAAGCAGAAAAAAUGUCGCACUUCGGAAGAACUGGCCCACCGGAUAUCAGCGAUACUUACUCUCUCCUCGUCCUCAACAUCACUUUCCGUACGACUGCAGAUGAUCUGUUUCCUCUUUUCGACAAGUACGGAAAGGUUGUCGAUAUCUUCAUUCCCCGUGACAGAAGGACUGGUGAAUCACGUGGGUUUGCAUUUGUUCGCUACAAGUACGCAGACGAAGCACAGAAGGCUGUCGAUAGGCUGGAUGGAAGAGUGGUUGAUGGACGGGAAAUGGCUGUUCAAUUUGCCAAAUAUGGGCCAAAUGCAGAACGAAUUCACCAAGGGAGGAUCAUUGAGAAGGUUUCUGCAGUCAAAGGAAGCUCAAGGAGUAGAAGCCCUCGUAGAAGAUACCACGAUGACUCUCACAGAGAGAGAGAAUACAGGAGGAGUAGGAGCAGAAGCGUUGAUCGCUAUGAGCGUGAUAGGUCUAGGCGGAGAGAGCGGGAUUAUCGCUAUCGAAGUAGGAGCCGCAGCUUAAGUCCAGACUAUGAUCGAUCCCGUGGUAGGGGACGUGACAAGAAACACCAUAGGCGGAGUCCAUCAUAUGACAGUGCUUCCCCAGCUCGGCGUAGCCCCAGUCCUCUCAGGAAAGAGUCUCCUCGUAAGAGCUUAUCACCGAAAAAAGGAAGUCCCGAGAGGCUCAAUCGCAGUGAGCGCUCUCCAACUCCUCGAAGCCGUUCCCCUCCAGGUCGAGCAAUGGAUUCACGAAGCCCUUCUCCUCGUGUUGAUGAGGAGUAAUUUUCUGGUGGCAUAAUAUGAGAACGGGCAGAUGAAGUGCAUCAACUUUAGCUGUCUUCUGAAUGUGUUAGAACACAAACUGUGAUGCAAUUUCUAUCUGAUAUUAGCUGACAUUUGUUAUGAUCGAGAGAAGGUUGGUGAGGUUGAUGUCAGACGAUGAUGAUGGUGAUGUGGCUGUCAACCCAUAUAGUAGCUUAUAGUUAGUUCGUGAGAUUUGAUGAGGAUGAUCGGUAGAUGUGUUGAUUGUCAGUGCUGAUGGGCUGUUGAUAUGCAGCUUGUGAUGCUGUUUUUAGUUAAUGAUUUUGCAAUGCAUGAACAGCAGAUGCUGGCUGGCGAUUUUCUGUGUGCACCUGUGUAUAAAAUAUAUUGGGUAAGCCUUUUUCUCCGGUCAAGAGCUCAUAAGUCGUAUCAUGUUUUCAUCCAUAAGAAAGAGCGUAUAAAAAAUAAGCUUUAUCCAAGGAUUAACUUUCCCAAGGUAUUGAACUUGUGUUUCUAGCUUUUACCUUUUUUUGUCUUUUGUGAAGUUUGGUGCUUAUUUGUCUCUGAAACGGGAUGGGGUGCAACUGGGUAUGUUAAGGAUUUGGACAGAGGAUGAAUCUGCCUCUGUGCCUGAUGCUGCUAGGGAGGUGUCCUAUUAUCAAAGCUGAUGCUAGUUGUCUGGUGUGCUGGCCCCUGAAUAGGGUGAAUAUCUCAUGUGGUCUAUUUUUGCACCUUGCAUAGCAGUCGAGAAAUGUCGUACCUUUUCCACCCAGAUGAUCAUGUCUGGUCGUGAUGCUUCUGUAGACAUUUUCUUGCUCGUGGGUCGUGAUUGUAGCUGAAUGAAGGCUGGUUAAUUGUCCAUUCCACAUCCUUAGUGCACCUGAUGUUCCAGAACCUCUUCACUUGAUCUGACGUUAUCCUUUAUGUAGCUGAUGGUUUUUUUUGGUGGUGAUUCAGCUUUCAGCACAUGUUUUUCCGCGUUGCGUUCUGUUUUAUGUUGUUUAUUCCCCAUGGCUCGACCGGGUCAAGGUUAUUAUAAAUUCUUUUAAACCUUGCAAACCAAUGAGUAGUUGGUUGAAUCCCUUGGUCUGAUAGGCGGAUUUAGUGUGGGUCUCUGGAAUAGUUAAUAAUGAGGUUGGUAGUUUCAUCUCCAUGGAGGGGGGGGGGGGUGUAUUGCAGGAGAUAUCAAGGUGUCUUGUGCAUCUCACUGUUGUUUGUGGUAUUAAGCAUAUAGCCAUAAUGUCUCGGCGUUGCUUAAGGUGAGAGCUGUGAUGAUUCUUUUACAAUUUGUUUGUAGUGUUGUAAGAUGUGGGUCAUAGAGUGGAUUUUGUCUUUUGUCGAUUCUAUGCAGCAUCUGUUUUGCUGUUGCCACUUGGGUAUAGUGGUUAAUGUUCACUAUUGUGCAAUAUGGUGUAUUCAGGUUACAACAUGCCUUUGGUUUUCCCUGCAGUUAUUAAAUUAUGUUCUACAAUUUUAGGUUGA